GACGUAGGGCGCGAGCGUUGUCCGGAUUUAUUGGGCGUAAAGCGCUCGCAGGUGGUUCGAUGCGUCGUGCGUGAAAGACCCCGGCUCAACUGGGGAGGGUCGUGCGAUACGGUCGAACUGGAGGCCAGUAGGGGGAUGCGGAAUUCCGGGUGUAGUGGUGGAAUGCGUAGAGAUCCGGAGGAACACCGAUGGCGAAGGCAGGUCUCUGGGCCACUACUGACGCUGAGAAGCGAAAGCAUGGGGAGCGAACAGG
rnacentral:rRNA from 1 species